UGGGCAACCUGCCCCAGACACAGGGAUAACCCCGGGAAACCGGGGCUAAUACCGGAUACUCCGGUCGAGCCGCAUGACUCGAUCGGGAAAGCUCCGACGGUCUGGGAUGGGCCCGCGGCCUAUCAGCUUGUUGGUGGGGUAACGGCCUACCAAGGCGACGACGGGUAGCUGGUCUGAGAGGACGACCAGCCACACUGGAACUGAGAUACGGUCCAGACUCCUACGGGAG
rnacentral:rRNA from 1 species